rnacentral:rRNA from 1 species
UAAUUGAUUUCCCUAGUACGGCGAGUGAAGAGGAAGAGCUCAAAGUUGGAACCUGUUUGGCCUAGCUAAACCGGAUUGUAGACUGUAGAAGUGUUUUCCAGGCAAGCCGAGUAAAUAAGUCCUUUGGAACAGGGCAUCAUAGAGGGUGAGAAUCCCGUCUUUGGCUUGAGCAUUUGCCUUUUGUGAUACGCUUUCAAAGAGUCAGGUUGUUUGGGAAUGCAGCCUAAAUUGGGUGGUAAAUCUCACCUAAAGCUAAAUAUUGGCGAGAAACCGAUAGCGAACAAGUACCGUGAGGGAAAGAUGAAAAGAACUUUGAAAAGAGAGUUAAACAGUAUGUGAAAUUGUUAAAAGGGAACCGUUUGGAGCCAGACUGGCUUGUCUGUAAUCAAUCUAGGCUUCGGCCUGGAUGCACUUGCAGGCUAUGCCUGCCAACGACAAUUUGACUUGAGGGAAAAAACUAGGGGAAAUGUGGCCCACUUGUGGGUGUUAUAGUCCCUUAGAAAAUACCUUGGGUUGGAUUGAGGAACGCAGCGAAUGCUUAUUGGCGAGUUUUCCAGGAAGGUUUUCUGAGGUACUACGGUAUCAAGGUUGAUCUUUUUGGUUAUACUUCUAUUCGCUUAGGUUGUUGGCUUAAUGACUCUAAAUGACCCGUCUUAAACCACGGACCAAAA